UGAACGCUGGCGGAAUGCUUUACACAUGCAAGUCGAACGGUAGAGGGGGCAACCCCUUGAGAGUGGCGAACGGGUGAGUAAUAUAUCGGAACGUGCCCAGUCGUGGGGGAUAACGUAGUGAAAAUUACGCUAAUACCGCAUACGAUCUAAGGAUGAAAGCGGGGGAUCGCAAAGACCUCGCGCGACUGGUAGCGGCCGAUAUCUAGAUUAGGUAGUUGGUAGGGUAAAGGUCCUACCAAGCCAACGAUCUGUAGCUGGUCUGAGAGGACGACCAGCCACACUGGAACUGAGACACGGUCCAGACUCCUACGGGAGGCAGCAGUGGGAAUUUUGGACAAUAGGGCGAAAGCCUGAUCCAGCCAUUCCGCGUGCAGGAUGAAGGCCCUCGGUUGUAAACUGCUUUGUACAGAACGAAGAGGUUUCUAUUAAUACUAGGAGCUCAUGACGGUACUGUAAGAAUAAGCACCGGCUAACUACGUGCCAGCAGCCGCG
rnacentral:rRNA from 1 species